CAGGCCCUACGGGGGGCAGCAGUGGGGGAUAUUGCACAAUGGGGGAAACCCUGAUGCAGCGACGCCGCGUGGGCGAAGAAGUAUUUCGGUAUGUAAAGCCCUAUCAGCAGGGAAGAACAAUGACGGUACCUGACUAAGAAGCACCGGCUAAAUACGUGCCAGCAGCCGCAGUAAUACGUAUGGUGCAAGCGUUAUCCGGAUUUACUGGGUGUAAAGGGAGCGCAGGCGGCGCGUUAAGCCUGGUGUGAAAGCCCGCGGCCCAACCGCGGGACUGCAUUGGGAACUGGCGCGCUGGAGUGCCGGAG
rnacentral:rRNA from 1 species